ACGUACAAUUUCAAAAUCCCUGCCAAAUAUAUUAGAGGUCAUUCACAAGUAUGCUGAACCCGGGACCAGUCUAAAGACCUACAGUAUUCACAAAGUGCAUGGCUUUUGGGAAAAUGUCUCAAGAGAUUUGGGAGUGCCUAAUACAUGUCUUAAUAGGAAAAAAUUCUCAAAGCAGUCCUGCAGUAUGAAAAGACCACAUCAGGGGUAGAGGGUCCCUUGCUACAGACUGAUUUUCCUACUGCAGAGACAACACUUGGAGAUGAUGUUCCUUCCAUUAAUGAGGAAGACAUUGUUCUUGUGCCAAAGUCUCCACAAUCUGUAGGAAAUGUACCUUUACCUUCAAGAAAAGAGGAUGCACUUCAAAAAACUGCAGAGAGCGGCAUCCAGACCCCAGACACACAAUCCCUCGAGAGUGACUCUAAAUCUUCAUCUUCAAAUGCAAAUGCUACGAGGAAUGAAUCAGAUGAAUCAGCUAAGGUCAACACAGACAGUAGCAGUUCAGGAGAAAGAUUUUUCCC